GAUGAACGCUGGCGGCGUGCCUAAUACAUGCAAGUCGAGCGAACGGACGAGAAGCUUGCUUCUCUGAUGUUAGCGGCGGACGGGUGAGUAACACGUGGAUAACCUACCUAUAAGACUGGGAUAACUUCGGGAAACCGGAGCUAAUACCGGAUGAUAUUUUGAACCGCAUGGUUCAAAAGUGAAAGACGGUCUUGCUGUCACUUAUAGAUGGAUCCGCGCUGCAUUAGCUAGUUGGUAAGGUAACGGCUUACCAAGGCAACGAUGCAUAGCCGACCUGAGAGAGUGAUCGGCCACACUAGAACUGAGACACGGUCCAGACUCCUACGGGAGGCAGCAGUAGGGAAUCUUCCGCAAUGGGCGAAAGCCUGACGGAGCAACGCCGAGUGAGUGAUGAAGGUCUUCGGAUCGUAAAACUCUGUUAUUAGGGAAGAACAUAUGUGUAAGUAACUGUGCACAUCUUGACGGUACCUAAUCAGAAAGCCACGGCUAACUACGUG
rnacentral:rRNA from 1 species